rnacentral:rRNA from 1 species
GACGAACGCUGGCGGCGUGCUUAACACAUGCAAGUCGAACGGAAAGGCCCUGCUUUUGUGGGGUGCUCGAGUGGCGAACGGGUGAGUAACACGUGAGUAACCUGCCCUUGACUUUGGGAUAACUUCAGGAAACUGGGGCUAAUACCGGAUAGGAGCUCCUGCUGCAUGGUGGGGGCUGGAAAGUUUCGGCGGUUGGGGAUGGGCUCGCGGCUUAUCAGCUUGUUGGUGGGGUAGUGGCUGACCAAGGCUUUGACGGGUAGCCGGCCUGAGAGGGGGACCGGCCACAAUGGGACGGAGAAACGGCCGAGACUCCUACGGGGGGCAGCAGUGGGGAAUAUUGCACAAUGGGCGGAGGCCUGAUGCAGCAGCGCCGCGUGCGGGAUGAAGGACUUCGGGUUGUAAACCGCUUUCGCCUGUGGCGAAGCGGGAGUGACGGUAAUGGGUAAAGAAGCACCGGCUAACUACGUG